UCUUGUAAUUGGAAUGAGUACAAUUUACAUCUCUUCACGAGGAUCAAUUGGAGGGCAAGUCUGGUGCCAGCAGCCGCGGUAAUUCCAGCUCCAAUAGCGUAUAUUAAAGUUGUUGCAGUUAAAACGCUCGUAGUCGGAUUUCGGGGCGGGUGCGCCGGUCUGCCGAUGGGUAUGCACUGGCGGGUCCGUCCUUCCUUCCGGAGGCCGUUCCUACUCUUAGCUGAGCGGGUUUGGUAGACGGAUCGUUUACUUCGAAAAAAUCAGAGUGUUUCAAGCAGGCAGCUCGCUGUUGCAUGGAUUAGCAUGGGAUAAUGAAAUAGGACUUUGGUGCUAUUUUGUUGGUUUCGAACACCGAAGUAAUGAUUAACAGGGACAGUCAGGGGCACUCGUAUUCCGCCGAGAGAGGUGAAAUUCUUAGACCAGCGGAAGACGAACCACUGCGAAAGCAUUUGCCAGGGAUGUUUUCACUGAUCAAGAACGAAAGUUAGGGGAUCGAAGACGAUCAGAUACCGUCGUAGUCUUAACCAUAAACCAUGCCGACUAGGGAUUGGAGGAUGUCCUUUUUGACUCCUUCAGCACCUUACGGGAAACUAAAGUCUUUGGGUUCCGGGGGGAGUAUGGUCGCAAGGCUGAAACUUAAAGGAAUUGACGGAAGGGCACCACCAGGAGUGGAGCCUGCGGCUUAAUUUGACUCAACACGGGGAAACUUACCAGGUCCAGACAUUGUGAGGAUUGACAGAUUGAGAGCUCUUUCUUGAUUCGAUGGGUGGUGGUGCAUGGCCGUUCUUAGUUGGUGGAGUGAUUUGUCUGG
rnacentral:rRNA from 1 species